rnacentral:rRNA from 1 species
AUAGCGUGCCUUUUGUAGAAUGAACCGGCGAGUUACGAUUUGUUGCAAGGUUAAGCGGAAAAAGCGGAGCCGUAGCGAAAGCGAGUCUGAAUAGGGCGCAUAAGUAACAGGUCGUAGACCCGAAACCAGGUGAUCUACCCAUGUCCAGGAUGAAGGUAAGGUAAUACUUACUGGAGGUCCGAACCCACGCACGUUGAAAAGUGCGGGGAUGAGGUGUGGGUAGCGGAGAAAUUCCAAUCGAACUUGGAGAUAGCUGGUUCUCUCCGAAAUAGCUUUAGGGCUAGCCUCGAGGUAAAGAGUCAUGGAGGUAGAGCACUGUUUGGACUAGGGGCCCUUCUCGGGUUACCGAAUUCAGAUAAACUCCGAAUGCCAUGUACUUAUACUCGGGAGUCAGACUGCGAGUGAUAAGAUCCGUAGUCGAAAGGGAAACAGCCCAGACCACCAGUUAAGGUCCCCAAAUAUAUGUUAAGUGGAAAAGGAUGUGGGGUUGCUUAGACAACCAGGAUGUUGGCUUAGAAGCAGCCACCAUUGAAAGAGUGCGUAAUAGCUCACUGGUCGAGUGACCCCGCGCCGAAAAUGUACCGGGGCUAAACAUAUUACCGAAACUGUGGAUGAACCUCUUUAGAGGUUCGUGGUAGGAGAGCGUUCUAAGGGCGGUGAAGUCAGACCGGAAGGACUGGUGGAGCGCUUAGAAGUGAGAAUGCCGGUAUGAGUAGCGAAAGAAGGGUGAGAAUCCCUUCCACCGAAUAUCUAAGGUUUCCUGAGGAAGGCUCGUCCGCUCAGGGUUAGUCGGGACCUAAGCCGAGGCCGAUAGGCGUAGGCGAUGGACAACAGGUAGAGAUUCCUGUACCAGUGCUAAUUGUUUAACCGAUGGGGUGACACAGAAGGAUAGGGAAUCGCACGAAUGGAAAUGUGCGUCCAAGCAGUGAGUGUGAGAAGUAGGCAAAUCCGCUUCUCGCGAAGCAUGAGCUGUGAUGGGGAAGGAAAUUAAGUACGGAAGUUCCUGAUUUCACGCUGUCAAGAAAAGCCUCUAGGAAGAGUAGUACUGCCCGUACCGCAAACCGACACAGGUAGAUGAGGAGAGAAUCCUAAGGUGAGCGAGAGAACUCUCGUUAAGGAACUCGGCAAAAUGACCCCGUAACUUCGGGAGAAGGGGUGCUCUAUUAGGGUGCAAGCCCGAGAGAGCCGCAGUGAAUAGGCCCAGGCGACUGUUUAGCAAAAACACAGGUCUCUGCAAAACCGUAAGGUGACGUAUAGGGGCUGACGCCUGCCCGGUGCUGGAAGGUUAAGAGGAGUGCUUAGCUUCGGCGAAGGUACGAAUUGAAGCCCCAGUAAACGGCGGCCGUAACUAUAACGGUCCUAAGGUAGCGAAAUUCCUUGUCGGGUAAGUUCCGACCCGCACGAAAGGCGCAACGAUCUGGGCACUGUCUCAACGAGAGACUCGGUGAAAUUAUAGUACCUGUGAAGAUGCAGGUUACCCGCGACAGGACGGAAAGACCCCGUGGAGCUUUACUGCAACCUGAUAUGGAAUGUUUGUACCGCUUGUACAGGAUAGGUAGGAGCCGAAGAGACGUGUGCGCUAGCAUACGAGGAGGCAAUGGUGGGAUACUACCCUGGCUGUAUGACCAUUCUAACCCGCCACGCUUAGCGCGUGGGGAGACAGUGUCAGGUGGGCAGUUUGACUGGGGCGGUCGCCUCCUAAAGAGUAACGGAGGCGCCCAAAGGUUCCCUCAGAAUGGAUGGAAAUCAUUCGCAGAGUGUAAAGGCACAAGGGAGCUUGACUGCGAGACUGACAAGUCGAGCAGGGACGAAAGUCGGGCUUAGUGAUCCGGUGGUUCCGCAUGGAAGGGCCAUCGCUCAACGGAUAAAAGCUACCCCGGGGAUAACAGGCUUAUCUCCCCCAAGAGUCCACAUCGACGGGGAGGUUUGGCACCUCGAUGUCGGCUCGUCGCAUCCUGGGGCUGUAGUCGGUCCCAAGGGUUGGGCUGUUCGCCCAUUAAAGCGGCACGCGAGCUGGGUUCAGAACGUCGUGAGACAGUUCGGUCCCUAUCCGUCGCGGGCGCAGGAAAUUUGAGAGGAGCUGUCCUUAGUACGAGAGGACCGGGAUGGACACACCGCUGGUGUACCAGUUGUUCCGCCAGGAGCAUCGCUGGGUAGCUAUGUGUGGCAGGGAUAAACGCUGAAAGCAUCUAAGCGUGAAGCCCCCCUCAAGAUGAGAUUUCCCAUUUCUUCGGAAAGUAAGAUCCCUGAAAGAUGAUCAGGUAGAUAGGUUUGGAGUGGAAGUGUAGCGAUACAUGGAGCGGACAAAUACUAAUCGAUCGAGGACUUAACCAAAA